GUAGUCUCGCACAGAUGCAUAUCAAUAAGCGGAGGAAAAGAAACUAACAAGGAUUCCCCUAGUAACGGCGAGUGAAGCGGGAAGAGGCUCAAAUUUGAAAUCUUAAAGGGUUUCCCUUUACGAAUUGUAGUUUAAAGAAGUGUUUUCUGUUGAGGUUUUGGUAAAAGUUCUUUGGAAUAGGACAUCAUAGAGGGUGAGAAUCCCGUAUUUGACCUUUACUUUCAACUUUGUGAUACACUUUCAAAGAGUCGGAUUGUUUGGGAAUGCAGUCCAAAAUGGGUGGUAAAUUUCAUCUAAAGCUAAAUAUUGGCGAGAGACCGAUAGCGGACAAGUACCGUGAGGGAAAGAUGAAAAGAACUUUGAAAAGAGAGUUAAACAGUACGUGAAAUUGUCAAAAGGGAAGCGUUUGACACCAGUGUUGUUUUUCUGAAAAUCAAUUAAAGAACUGUUUAUGCUAAGCUGUUUAGACUUUAUCAAGCUAACUGUUUAGUUUUGAGCUUUUCUUUAAUGCACUUUUCAGGUUAACAAGUCAACAUCAAUUUCUUUUGCUGUAAAAAAGCUUGAGGAAGGUGGCUUGAGAUUCGUCUUAAGUGUUUAUAGCCUCUUGCCUAUGCAGUCGGAGAGAUUGAGGUCUGCAGCGUAGAUCCUUCGGGGCUAAAUGCAUUUGUGCUAAGUUAUAGCAUUUUAUAGACAACUUGUUGACUAUGAUUUGUCUUGUAGCUUACUCGCUUAUGUUAUUUUACCUACGCUUAGGAUGUUGAAGACUCUACAGAGAUA
rnacentral:rRNA from 1 species